rnacentral:rRNA from 1 species
UACAGAGGGGGCAAGCGUUAUUCGGAAUUAUUGGGCGUAAAGGGCGCGUAGGCGGCCUGACAAGUGGAAGGUGAAAUCCCUCGGCUUAACCGAGGAACUGCCCUCCAAACUGUCUGGCUUGAGACCGGGAGAGGUGAGUGGAAUUCCCAGUGUAGCGGUGAAAUGCGUAGAUAUUGGGAGGAACACCAGUGGCGAAGGCGGCUUACUGGACCGGUACUGACGCUGAGGCGCGAAAGCGUGGGGAGCAAACGGG